GAUCACAUUUGGUUACUACCAUCCACCCAUCAAUACACCAAAUCCCCUGUACACGUAUAGUGACUCAGAGGACGAGCAGCCCACAAAAAAAAGGUUUCCCCAGGCCCCUCGAGUGACAAUACCAGCACUGACCGCUCCGCAGUCUUCCCCCCAGCCCACUGACAGCAGACAUCAUAAUGCCCCUCCCAGCUUCCGGCACCAUUCGCCACUCCAGGAGAACAUUCCGAACGACACACCUUUACAAUCUCCCCAGCAUGCAGAGUAUGAUGUCGAGGCCUUCCCAA